CAACGAGCGCAACCCCUAUCCUUAUUUACCAGCACGUAAUGGUGGGAACUCUAGGGAGACUGCCGGUGAUAAACCGGAGGAAGGUGGGGACGACGUCAAGUCAUCAUGGCCCUUACGAGUAGGGCUACACACGUGCUACAAUGGCGAGUACAGAGGGUUGCAAAGCCGCGAGGUGGAGCUAAUCUCACAAAGCUCGUCGUAGUCCGGAUUGGAGUCUGCAACUCGACUCCAUGAAGUCGGAAUCGCUAGUAAUCGUGAAUCAGAAUGUCACGGUGAAUACGUUCCCGAGCCUUGUACACACCGCCCGUCACACCAUGGGAGUGGGCUGCAAAAGAAGUGGGUAGCUUAACCUUCGGGGGGGCGCUCACCACUUUGUGGUUCAUGACUGGGGUGAAGUCGUAACAAGGUAACCGUA
rnacentral:rRNA from 1 species